GCCUGAUGUUGCCGCACUAGGAUAGGCGGGAGAGAAGGGACACAGGCCACUGCUGCAGCCACUGGAGCCCCAGGAGCCACUUUGCAAUAAGCCUGUCCCCCAGUCCCCUGCCCACCAUCCAGCCUUCUGCUGCACCAUUCCUGAAGGGAACCCCCAGAGCUUCUGUGGCAGAAUCAGAUCAGUGCAUGGAUCUAUAAGCAAGCAUGCGCCAACCUCUGCCCAGGGCACCGCCCAGCUGUCCCCACCGGACCGGACACCACUGGGAGAGCGAGGAGACUCUUCUCACUGUACAGCCCCCCAGUGCUCCCCAGGGUGCCCUGCUAAUGGAACCCCUCUGGCUUGCUAAAUAAACAUA